UACAGAGGUCUCAAGCGUUGUUCGGAUUCAUUGGGCGUAAAGGGUGCGUAGGCGGCGCGGUAAGUCGGGUGUGAAAUCUCGGAGCUUAACUCCGAAACUGCAUUCGAUACUGCCGUGCUUGAGGACUGGAGAGGAGACUGGAAUUUACGGUGUAGCGGUGAAAUGCGUAGAUAUCGUAAGGAAGACCAGUGGCGAAAGGCGGCUCA
rnacentral:rRNA from 1 species